rnacentral:rRNA from 1 species
UACGUAGGGGGCUAGCGUUGUCCGGAAUCAUUGGGCGUAAAGAGCGCGUAGGCGGCCAGAUAAGUCCGGUGUGAAAGUCAAAGGCUCAACCUUUGAAUGCCGCUGGAAACUGUCUGGCUAGAGUCCGGGAGGGGCGAGUGGAAUUCCUGGUGUAGCGGUGAAAUGCGCAGAUAUCAGGAGGAACACCGAUGGCGAAGGCAGCUCGCUGGGACGGUACUGACGCUGAGGCGCGAAAGCGUGGGGAGCAAACAGG